GCAUAUCAAUAAGCGGAGGAAAAAGAAACCAACAGGGAUUGCCCUUAGUAACGGCGAAGUGAAGCGGCAACAGCUCAAAUUUGAAAUCUGGCCUCGGCCCGAGUUGUAAUUUGCAGAGGAUGUUUCUGGCGAGGUGCCUUCCGAGUUCCCUGGAACGGGACGCCACAGAGGGUGAGAGCCCCGUAUGGUUGGACACCAAGCCUGUGUGAAACUCCUUCGACGAGUCGAGUAGUUUGGGAAUGCUGCUCAAAAUGGGAGGUAAAUCUCUUCUAAAGCUAAAUACCGGCCAGAGACCGAUAGCGCACAAGUAGAGUGAUCGAAAGAUGAAAAGCACCUUGAAAAGGGGGUUAAACAGUACGUGAAAUUGUUGAAAGGGAAGCGCUUGUGACCAGACUUGUGCCGGGCGGUUCAUCCGGGGUUCUCCCCGGUGCACUCCGCCCGGUUCAGGCCAGCAUCGGUUCUCGUUGGGGGAUAAGAACGGCAGGAACGUGGCCCUCCCUCGGGAGGGUGUUAUAGCCUGCCGUACGAUACCCUGAUGGGGACCGAGGUUCGCGCUCCGCAAGGAUGCUGGCGUAAUGGUCAUCAGCGACCCGUCUUGAAACACGGACCAAGGAGUCGUCCAUUAGAGCGAGCGUUUGGGUGUAAAACCCGCACGCGUAAUGAAAGUGAAAUUAGGUGAGAGCUUCGGCGCAUCAUCGACCGAUCCUGAUGUUCUCGGAUGGAUUUGAGUAAGAGUUUUAACGGACGGACCCGAAAGACAGUGAACUAUGCUUGUAUAGGGUGAAGCCAGAGGAAACUCUGGUGGAGGCUCGCAGCGGUUCUGACGUGCAAAUCGAUCGUCAAAUAUGAGCAU
rnacentral:rRNA from 1 species